CAAUCACCAACACAAAGGUUGUGCUUUUUCUCAAAAUCUCAACUUUCAAUUCCCCUCCAUUCGUUAGAGGAAGCCAAAAUGACCCUGUGGCUAAACUUGGUAUUCUUUCUUGCAUCCCUUGGAGGUGUCAAGUCUCAAAUCCAGUUGGUGGAGUCUGGAGGGGGUGUGAGAAGACCUGAAGAGUCCAUCCGUCUCUCCUGCCAAGCCUCCGGGUUCACCUUCAGCGGCUACUGGAUGACCUGGGUGAGACAGGCUCCAGGGAAAGGACUGGAAUGGGUAGCCUACAUAGGUACAGGCUCAAAUCCUUCCACUUAUUACUCAGACAAAGUCAAGGGCCGCUUCACCAUCUCCAGGGAUGAUGCCAAAAGCCAGCUGUAUCUGCAGAUGAACAAUCUGAAAGCAGAGGACACGGCUGUCUAUUACUGUGCAAGAGACACAGUGAGAGGAA